rnacentral:rRNA from 1 species
AACGAACGCUGGCGGCAUGCCUAACACAUGCAAGUCGAACGAACCCUUCGGGGUUAGUGGCGCACGGGUGCGUAACGCGUGGGAAUCUGCCCUUUGCUUCGGAAUAACAGUUAGAAAUGACUGCUAAUACCGGAUGAUGUCUUCGGACCAAAGAUUUAUCGGCAAGGGAUGAGCCCGCGUAGGAUUAGGUAGUUGGUGGGGUAAAGGCCUACCAAGCCGACGAUCCUUAGCUGGUCUGAGAGGAUGAUCAGCCACACUGGGACUGAGACACGGCCCAGACUCCUACGGGAGGCAGCAGUGGGGAAUAUUGGACAAUGGGCGCAAGCCUGAUCCAGCAAUGCCGCGUGAGUGAUGAAGGCCUUCGGGUCGUAAAGCUCUUUUACCAGGGAUGAUAAUGACAGUACCUGGAGAAUAAGCUCCGGCUAACUCCGUGCCAGCAGCCGCGGUAAUACGGAGGGAGCUAGCGUUGUUCGGAAUUACUGGGCGUAAAGCGCACGUAGGCGGCGACACAAGUCAGAGGUGAAAGCCCGGGGCUCAACCCCGGAACUGCCUUUGAAACUAGGUUGCUAGAAUCUUGGAGAGGUCAGUGGAAUUCCGAGUGUAGAGGUGAAAUUCGUAGAUAUUCGGAAGAACACCAGUGGCGAAGGCGACUGACUGGACAAGUAUUGACGCUGAGGUGCGAAAGCGUGGGG